rnacentral:rRNA from 1 species
ACUCCUACGGGAGGCAGCAGUGGGGAAUAUUGGACAAUGGGGCGCAAGCCUGAUCCAGCAAUGCCGCGUGUGUGAAGAAGGCCUGCGGGUUGUAAAGCACUUUUGUUCGGGAAGAAACGGAUCGGUUAAUACCCGGUUCGGAUGACGGUACCGAAAGAAUAAGCACCGGCUAACUUCGUGCCAGCAGCCGCGGUAAU